rnacentral:rRNA from 1 species
CAAAACAANAAUAAAGGUCCCGCCUGCCCUGUGACUAUAUGUUCAACGGCCGCGGUAUUUUGACCGUGCGAAGGUAGCGUAAUCACUUGUCUUUUAAAUGGAGACCUGUAUGAAUGGCAUAACGAGGGCUUAACUGUCUCCUCUUUCAAGUCCAAUGAAAUUGAUCUUCCCGUGCAGAAGCGGGAAUAGUAACAUAAGACGAGAAGACCCUUAUGGAGCUUUAGACGNAAAGGCAGAUCAUGUUAAGCACCCUCCCACAAGAGAUCNAAACUAGAUGAAGCCUGCCCUAAUGUCUUUGGUUGGGGCGACCGCGGCGAAACCUAAAAAACCCCCGCGUGGAAAGAGGGUACCUACCUCCCUCCAAACCAAGAGCUCCCGCUCUAAUAAACAGAAUAUCUGGACCUACAAGAUCCGGCAACGCCGAUCAACGGACCGAGUUACCCUAGGGAUAACAGCGCAAUCCCCUUCUAGAGCCCUAUCGACAAGGGGGCUUACGACCUCGAUGUUGGAUCAGGACAUCCUAAUGGUGCANCCGUAUUAAGGG